ACCCGCACAAGCGGUGGAUGAUGUGGAUUAAUUCGAUGCAACGCGAAGAACCUUACCUACCCUUGACAUGUCCGGAACUUGCCAGAGAUGGCUUGGUGCCCGAAAGGGAAUCGGAACACAGGUGCUGCAUGGCUGCCGUCAGCUCGUGUCGUGAGAUGUUGGGUUAAGUCCCGCAACGAGCGCAACCCUUAUCAUUAGUUGCUACGCAAGGGCACUCUAAUGAGACUGCCGGUGACAAACCGGAGGAAGUGGGGAUGACGUCAAGUCCUCAUGGCCCUUAUGGGUAGGGCUUCACACGUCAUACAAUGGUCGGUACAGAGGGUUGCCAAGCCGCGAGGCGGAGCCAAUCCCACAAAGCCGAUCGUAGUCCGGAUUGUUCUCUGCAACUCGAGAGCAUGAAGUCGGAAUCGCCAGUAAUCGCAGGUCAGCAUACUGCGGUGAAUACGUUCCCGGGUCUU
rnacentral:rRNA from 1 species